rnacentral:rRNA from 1 species
GAUGAACGCUGGCGGCGUGCCUAAUACAUGCAAGUCGAGCGAGCGGACGAGAAGCUUGCUUUUCUGAUGUUAGCGGCGGACGGGUGAGUAACACGUGGAUAACCUACCUAUAAGACUGGGAUAACUUCGGGAAACCGGAGCUAAUACCGGAUAAUAUUUUGAGCCGCAUGGUUCAAAAGUGAAAGACGGUCUUGCUGUCACUUAUAGAUGGAUCCGCGCUGCAUUAGCUAGUUGGUAAGGUAACGGCUUACCAAGGCAACGAUGCAUAGCCGACCUGAGAGGGUGAUCGGCCACACUGGAACUGAGACACGGUCCAGACUCCUACGGGAGGCAGCAGUAGGGAAUCUUCCGCAAUGGGCGAAAGCCUGACGGAGCAACGCCGCGUGAGUGAUGAAGGUCUUCGGAUCGUAAAACUCUGUUAUUAGGGAAGAACAUAUGUGUAAGUAACUGUGCACAUCUUGACGGUACCUAAUCAGAAAGCCACGGCUAACUACGUG